GACGUAGGGCGCGAGCGUUGUCCGGAUUUAUUGGGUACGGUAAAGAGCUCGUAGGACGGCUUGUCGCGUCGAAUUGUGAAACUCGGGGCUCAACUCCGAGCUUGCAUUCGAUACGGCAGGCUAGAGUUCGGUAGGGGAGGACUGGAAUUCCUGGUGUAGCGGUGAAAUGCGCAGAUAUCAGGAGGAACACCGGUGGCGAAGGCGGGUCUCUGGGCCGAAUACUGACGCUGAGGAGCGAAAGCGUGGGGAGCGGAACAGGA
rnacentral:rRNA from 1 species